GGGCAUGUGGCGGAACUGGUAUACGCGUACGAUUCAGAAUCGUAUGGAGCAAUCCUUGGAGGUUCAAAUCCUCUCAUGCCCA
rnacentral:tRNA from 1 species